ensembl:lncRNA
AUAAUAAAAAAGAACUACUCUUUUAUUAUGUUCUUGAUAAUGUCAAAAUGAUAAAAGAAUUUGGAGUCAGGUGUCAAUGAAACAGUGUUGUGAAUCCUCCUCGUUUGGCAUUUCAAAAUGUCCAGUGUCAAGCCUAGGAACUGGGAUAUAUGUUUCUUAGUUGACAUUAUGGUUCUUAGAGUUCUGUGCUUUGUUAUUUGAUACCUUGGCUGCUUACUUAAGCUCCAUAUGCAAAUACAAAGCUCAAAUACAAAGCUGGAGUGUUAAGAUUAAAGAGCUAAGAUUCCAAGAUUAAAAUGGGAGAUGAAUGUUUCCUGUAAAUAUGUAUCAUUAGUCUGAUUUUUAAAGGAUGUUUAGCAAUGAUUUGAAUAAAUAAAUAAAUAAAACAGCAUUGUAAAGGAAACAGUCCAAAAUGCUUUAAAAAGCAUGUAUGGCAGAAAAACCUUUCUACAGCUGUAAAUGAGCUGCAGUCUGACACCCACAGCAAAAGUACUUGUUAGCGGAGCAGCUAAGCCCCAGGUGAUGCCGUUUGGAUCGUUUUCCCUUAUAACACAUCCCUUCCCUAUCUGACUAUAGUCUGAGCAAGCUGCGGAGGGUCUCUAUUCCUGGUAGCACCUCAGAGCAGAGGCACAAGGGAGGCGAAGGCUCUUCCCCAAGGCCGGGCAGAGGCUCUGUGCCCAGCACCAUCUCCUGCUCCCUCUCACGGGGCCAGCGCAGACACGGACACCUUCGGCUGCAGGUCUCAGGAUGAGAUGGCUCCAGGAAACAGCAUCACAAAGUUAGCAGCGUGAAGUGGAUGAUGAGAUGGUGUCAUUCCCAGAAAGACUUCUGCUGUUGGUAUCUCGUGAAGCAUCUUGACAGUGUGAUGGCAUCCCACAGCUCCUCGUGCUUCUUCAGGUUGCUCCUGUUACUGAUCUUGCUUUGGGUUUUGCUGAGGAACACGCUGAGACUUCAUUUGCUAUGCCCUAGCCAUCUCAGAUCUGUUUUGGACUGUGCUGGUUCUUCCAUUUGUUUCCCGGUGUGGCUGGCACAUCUGUGGUAAGAUUUUGCUUUCUCAGACUGCCCUGUGACAAUUUACUUUCAAUACUAAUAAAAGUCUACUUAAUUUAUCA